CCAGGCCCUACGGGGUGCAGCAGGCGCGAAACCUCCGCAAUGUGAGAAAUCGCGACGGGGGGAUCCCAAGUGCCAUUCUUAACGGGAUGGCUUUUCAUUAGUGUAAAGAGCUUUUGGAAUAAGAGCUGGGCAAGACCGGUGCCAGCCGCCGCGGUAACACCGGCAGCUCUAGUGGUAGCAGUUUUUAUUGGGCCUAAAGCGUCCGUAGCCGGUUUAAUAAGUCUCUGGUGAAAUCCUGCAGCUUAACUGUGGGAAUUGCUGGAGAUACUAUUAGACUUGAGAUCGGGAGAGGUUAGAGGUACUCCCAGGGUAGAGGUGAAAUUCUGUAAUCCUGGGAGGACCGCCUGUUGCGAAGGCGUCUGACUGGAACGAUUCUGACGGUGAGGGACGAAAGCUAGGGGCGCGAACCGGAUUAGAUACCCGGGUAGUCCUAGCUGUAAACGAUGCGGACUUGGUGUUGGGGUGGCUUUGAGCUGUCCCAGUGCCGAAGGGAAGCUGUUAAGUCCGCCGCCUGGGAAGUACGGUCGCAAGACUGAAACUUAAAGGAAUUGGCGGGGGGGCACCACAACGCGUGGAGCCUGCGGUUUAAUUGGAGUCAACGCCGG
rnacentral:rRNA from 1 species